rnacentral:pre_miRNA from 1 species
CAUGUACUCCCUCCGUCCGGAAAUACUUGUCAUCAAAAUGAAUAAAAGGGGAUGUAUUUAGAUGUAUUUUAGUUUUAGAUACAUCCUUUUUUGUCCAUUUUGAUGACAAAUAUUUUCGGAUAGAGGGAGUACGUG